CUACGGGAUGCAGCAGUGAGGAAUAUUGCACAAUGGGGGGAACCCUGAUGCAGCAACGCCGCGUGGAGGAUGACGCAUUUCGGUGUGUAAACUCCUUUUAUAUGUCAAGAAAAUGACGGUAGCAUAUGAAUAAGCACCGGCUAACUCCGUGCCAGCAGCCGCGGUAAUACGGAGGGUGCAAGCGUUACUCGGAAUCACUGGGCGUAAAGGACGCGUAGGCGGGUUGGAAAGUCAGGUGUGAAAUCCUACAGCUUGACUGUAGAACUGCACUUGAAACUUCUAAUCUAGAGUAUGGGAGGGGGAGAUGGAAUUAGUGGUUUAGGGGUAAAAUCCGUAGAUAUCACUAGGAAUACCUAAAGCGAAGGCGAUCUCCUGGAACAUUACUGACGCUAAGGCGUGAAAGCGUGGGGAGCAAACAGGAUUAGAUACCCCAGUAGUC
rnacentral:rRNA from 1 species